GCCCAAGGGUCGCGGGUAGCCGGGAGGCGGGCGGAACCGGUGCCUUGUAUGUAGGAGCGCCUGGGAGCCGUCCUAGUAUCCGCACCAGGAUGGCCGAGUGGUUAAGGCGUUGGACUUAAGAUCCAAUGGACGUAUGUCCGCGUGGGUUCGAACCCCACUCCUGGAUGGCAAAGGCUGGAAGAGAGAAAGAAAUGCUGUCUAGAAAGUGUGUGGUCCACCCCUCAGCUCAGAGGAGGGUCAGCUUGAGCACUCAGGUUUUGAGCAUCUCCAAGGAUGAAGACUUCUUAACCUCUCUGGGCAACCCAUGCCAGCAUUUGACAACCCUCACAGUAAAUAAAGCUUUUUCUAGUAUCUUGAAAAUUUUUUGUUCCUAAACAUCCCAAGAUAAAUGAAGGAACUACAAAUGCCACAACACUUAAGAGGACGCUCACUGGAUAUGUGGCGUUGCUGCCAUGCAAAACCUCAGAGAUGGUAUCUCUGAAGGGAGACCUCAGAAUUGACCAAGGAGUUGCUGACUGCUGUUUAUCGACUAACCAAUACCUCAGGUUAAACAGAAAAAGGACAGAGAAGCAUGAUGUAGAGAAGCUCAGGUGGACCUACGAUGCAGUGGGCAAUGGACAUUUUGCCCAGAAGACACCUCGCACCCUGGGCUUCUGUAUUUGUCCCAGUUGCCUGCUGCCCUCUGCCCCAGCUCGUCCCUCUCAUUUUCUGCACCUGGUGGCCCCUGAUGUAUGGUUAACUCUGUGGAUCAAAACAGUCUUGAGUGUCUUAAGGUGUUUUACAGUGGCUACUGCAACAGGGCUCAUAAUUCUUAGAGGAGCUUGGAAGGAGCUUACACACAAAGGUAGCUGAGUCUGGAAUAAAAAUAAGUGAUCUAAUGUUAAAAUCAGAUCCCCAGCCUAAGGAGUUGAGGGUAGGAAUGCUGUCCCACCUUUAAAAAUUGUUCUAGGUCUGAUUUUUAAUAUUUAGUAUCAGAUAACUAGUUGAACAACAAAGAUAACUUGAAAGCUCUUAGAUUACAGCAAAAGAAAGGAAAAGGAACAAGCUAUGCCUGCGUGGUGUACUGAAGUCUGUCCGAGGUACUUCCAAAGGCAUUGUAGAUAAAGCUGACCCAGGCUUUUCAAAACACUUGUUAAUUUUUCUCACAAGAGGAACAUACAGAGAGAAAACAUUUAUUUAAUAUGUCUUUUUAUAUCUUUUUCUCCUUGGAUUAGAGAUAAUGAAACUAGUAAGGGACUUGUACCAACUGGUUAGUGCAGUAUGUCAGCAGCAAAGCACCAAGGAGCUGUUACUGGAAGUCAGAUGCAAGUUCUGCAGGAAAAAAAAAAAGGCUGCUGACUAACAGCAUGCCUAAUCUGUUAACUGAGAGCGACAAUGUGAUGGGCUCUUUGGAAAGGGACAAUAAAGAUACUCUGCUUACAAAGCAAUCCAUUUGGUAUCUCAUGUCUUCCUGGAUAUGGAAUGUUUUUCUGAAAUCAUGACAAAACAUUGAUGA